rnacentral:rRNA from 1 species
AAUCAAGCGCGAGAAGGGCGUUUGGUGAAUGCCUUGGCAGUAAGAGGCGAUGAAGGACGUGAUACUCUGCGAUAAGCUUUGGGAAGGUGAGAAUAGCCGUUAUACCCAGAGAUCUCCGAAUGGGGGAACCCACCUGACAGUUCAUUAUAAUUACUCACUGGCGAACUCUUCGAGUUCGUUUAGGUAAUUUAUAGUGUUCUGAAACAGGUACUUUUAACCUGAAUACAUAGGGUUUUAAGAGCAAACCCGGGGAACUGAAACAUCUAAGUACCCGGAGGAAAGGAAAUCAAUUGAUACUCCCCUAGUAGCGGCGAGCGAACGGGGACCAGCCGAGCCAUGAGUGUGGAUAGAAUGCGUUGGGAAGCGCAACCAUAGUGGGUGACAGUCCCGUAUAUGAAGCACGAUUGGACGUAUUAAGUAGGGCGGAACACGUGAAAUUCUGUCUGAAGAUCGGAGGACCACCUUCGAAGGCUAAGUACUCCUUACUGACCGAUAGCGAACCAGUACCGUGAGGGAAAGGUGAAAAGCACCCCGACGAGGGGAGUGAAACAGUACCUGAAACCGAACGCCUACAAUCAGUCGGAGGCCCCUUGAGGGCUGACGGCGUACCUUUUGUAUAAUGGGUCAUCGACUUGGUCUAUCUAGCAAGCUUAAGCCGUUAGGUGUAGGCGCAGCGAAAGCGAGUCUUAAUAGGGCGAAUGAGUUAGGUGGAUCAGACCCGAAACCGAGUGAUCUAGGCAUGGCCAGGUUGAAGGUGCAGUAACAUGCACUGGAGGACCGAACCCACAUCUGUUGAAAAAGAUCGGGAUGAGCUGUGCCUAGGGGUGAAAGGCCAAUCAAACUCGGAGAUAGCUGGUUCUCUGCGAAAUCUAUUUAGGUAGAGCGUCGGACGAAUACUCUCGGGGGUAGAGCACUGAAUGGGUAA